rnacentral:misc_RNA from 1 species
UCUCCGUUGGUGAACCAGCGGAGGGAUCAUUACCGAGUUUACAACUCCCAAACCCAAUGUGAACCAUACCAAACUGUUGCCUCGGCGGGGUCACGCCCCGUGUGCGUCGCAGCCCCGGAACAGGCGCCCGCCGGAGGGACCAACCAAACUCUUUCUGUAGUCCCCUCGCGGACGUUAUUUUUACAGCUCUGAGCAAAAAUUCAAAAUGAAUCAAAACUUUCAACAACGGAUCUCUUGGUUCUG